rnacentral:rRNA from 1 species
UUGGGAAGAAGUUUGAUCCUGGCUCAGGAUGAACGCUGGCGGCGUGCCUAAUACAUGCAAGUCGAGCGAAUGGAUUAAGAGCUUGCUCUUAUGAAGUUAGCGGCGGACGGGUGAGUAACACGUGGGUAACCUGCCCAUAAGACUGGGAUAACUCCGGGAAACCGGGGCUAAUACCGGAUAACAUUUUGAACCGCAUGGUUCGAAAUUGAAAGGCGGCUUCGGCUGUCACUUAUGGAUGGACCCGCGUCGCAUUAGCUAGUUGGUGAGGUAACGGCUCACCAAGGCAACGAUGCGUAGCCGACCUGAGAGGGUGAUCGGCCACACUGGGACUGAGACACGGCCCAGACUCCUACGGGAGGCAGCAGUAGGGAAUCUUCCGCAAUGGACGAAAGUCUGACGGAGCAACGCCGCGUGAGUGAUGAAGGCUUUCGGGUCGUAAAACUCUGUUGUUAGGGAAGAACAAGUGCUAGUUGAAUAAGCUGGCACCUUGACGGUACCUAACCAGAAAG